CAGUUUACAUACUUUAAUUUAUUUACCAAAAAGAUAUCUUGACCUGUGCAUAAGUUUUUUGUUAUUAAAUGGUAUUUGGAGCUAUCCCUUUGUUAUAUUUUUCAUAUUUACAUGAUAAAUAGAUCCGUUUUGUUAUGGUGUUGGACUUUUUACCCUCCAAUGAUCAGCAAUCGCUAGACAAAAUAGUUCUCCUAAAUAAUGUCAGCCUUUCAUGCCAUUUCAACUUUACAAUCAUUAAAAAAAGUGAAAAUCGGAAUCAUUUUGAUAUCCAUUGGAUAGAAACUGGUCUUUAUCCAGAUUUACGAAGAUUUUAAAAAUCGGAAAUUAGUAAUACGGUUAUACCCACGCGGUGCGUAUGAAUCUUUGUUUACAAAACAGGAUUUCGGAACGUCUCUAGUUUUUAGAUCGUAAGUCACGAUAAACUCAAACUGAAAGUAAACAGUUGUUUGUAAGACGCAGGUUUACUCACCAUAAACAAGAUGAAACGUUCAGUAUGGCAUAUAUUUUAGGUUAAAGACGGUCCCAUUCAUUUAAAAAGCAUUUUGAAAGUAGACGAUGGGAUUAUUUCAGGUUUGGGGAACGAGUAUAUUAUCACAAAGUUCAUUUCUUGACGACCUCAUAAUUUCAUCAUGUCGAUUGUACAAAUCGAUUUUUACUGUUUACUGUCGCUUCUCAUGUUUUGUAUUUAAACGGUCGUUUAUUUUUAAACCCGAACCAGGCAUAUGCAUUCUGUAAUUGUGCAAAUCUUCGUUCUUUGGUCAAUUGGCUUAUGGAUAGUUGUAUCAAUUUCAACUCUUACAUUAUUAUUUUUUUUAAAUAUAUUUGCAUUACACAUGCAAUGGCAGUACCUUUCCAAUUACAAUUUAUGUGUUGUGUCUAAAUUAAAGUUGUAACACUUUAUAGUGACUGGAAAGGGUAGAAAAAUUCAUCAGAUGAGAAAAGGCUGAAGAUACUUCAAACGGCACCGAAUCAUUAGAUAUUGCAUCUUAUAAAAAGAAACUGAGAUUUGGAUAGUUCCACUUCAAGGUAAAAAUGUUUAUCUCUUGUGAAAUGAAAUAAAAAAAAUAUUGUAACACUGUAGUUAAUUAAUAAAGAUACUAUUACGUGUA